rnacentral:rRNA from 1 species
CGAAGUGGGGGUUCUAAUAAAAGGUCCUGCCUGCCCUGUGACCAGAGUGUUUAACGGCCGCGGUAUCCUGACCGUGCGAAGGUAGCGCAAUCACUUGCUCUUUAAAUGGGGGCCCGUAUGAAUGGCGUGACGAGGGCUUGACUGUCUCCUUUUUCAGGUCAAUGAAAUUGAUCCCCCCGUGCAGAAGCGGGGAUAGUAACAUAAGACGAGAAGACCCUAUGGAGCUUUAGACACUAAGGCAGGCCACGUUAAUCACCCCCCGUCAAGGGGCUAAACUGAUUGGCUGCUGCCCUAAUGUCUUCGGUUGGGGCGACCGUGGGGGAAAACAAAGCCCCCAUGCGGAACGGGAAUCCUAUUUCUCCUACCCAAGAGUCUCCACUCUAAGAUUCAGAACUUCUGACCAAAGUGAUCCGGCAAUGCCGAUCAACGGACCAAGUUACCCUAGGGAUAACAGCGCAAUCCUCUUUUAGAGCCCAUAUCGACAAGGGGGUUUACGACCUCGAUGUUGGAUCAGGACAUCCUAAUGGUGCAGCCGCUAUUAAGGGUUCGUUUGUUCAACGAUUAAUAGUCCUACGUGAUCUGAUUCCAGACCGGA